rnacentral:rRNA from 1 species
CAUAGGUUAAUGAGGCGAACCGGGGGAACUGAAACAUCUAAGUACCCCGAGGAAAAGAAAUCAACCGAGAUUCCCCCAGUAGCGGCGAGCGAACGGGGAGGAGCCCAGAGCCUGAAUCAGUGUGUGUGUUAGUGGAAGCGUCUGGAAAGGCGCGCGAUACAGGGUGACAGCCCCGUACACAAAAAUGCACAUGCUGUGAGCUCGAUGAGUAGGGCGGGACACGUGGUAUCCUGUCUGAAUAUGGGGGGACCAUCCUCCAAGGCUAAAUACUCCUGACUGACCGAUAGUGAACCAGUACCGUGAGGGAAAGGCGAAAAGAACCCCGGCGAGGGGAGUGAAAAAGAACCUGAAACCGUGUACGUACAAGCAGUGGGAGCCUCUUAAUGGGGUGACUGCGUACCUUUUGUAUAAUGGGUCAGCGACUUAUAUUCUGUAGCAAGGUUAACCGAAUAGGGGAGCCGAAGGGAAACCGAGUCUUAACUGGGCGUUAAGUUGCAGGGUAUAGACCCGAAACCCGGUGAUCUAGCCAUGGGCAGGUUGAAGGUUGGGUAACACUAACUGGAGGACCGAACCGACUAAUGUUGAAAAAUUAGCGGAUGACUUGUGGCUGGGGGUGAAAGGCCAAUCAAACCGGGAGAUAGCUGGUUCUCCCCGAAAGCUAUUUAGGUAGCGCCUCGUGAAUUCAUCUCCGGGGGUAGAGCACUGUUUCGGCAAGGGGGUCAUCCCGACUUACCAACCCGAUGCAAACUGCGAAUACCGGAGAAUGUUAUCACGGGAGACACACGGCGGGUGCUAACGUCCGUCGUGAAGAGGGAAACAACCCAGACCGCCAGCUAAGGUCCCAAAGUCAUGGUUAAGUGGGAAACGAUGUGGGAAGGCCCAGACAGCCAGGAUGUUGGCUUAGAAGCAGCCAUCAUUUAAAGAAAGCGUAAUAGCUCACUGGUCGAGUCGGCCUGCGCGGAAGAUGUAACGGGGCUAAACCAUGCACCGAAGCUGCGGCAGCGACACUAUGUGUUGUUGGGUAGGGGAGCGUUCUGUAAGCCUGUGAAGGUGGCCUGUGAGGGUUGCUGGAGGUAUCAGAAGUGCGAAUGCUGACAUAAGUAACGAUAAAGCGGGUGAAAAGCCCGCUCGCCGGAAGACCAAGGGUUCCUGUCCAACGUUAAUCGGGGCAGGGUGAGUCGACCCCUAAGGCGAGGCCGAAAGGCGUAGUCGAUGGGAAACAGGUUAAUAUUCCUGUACUUGGUGUUACUGCGAAGGGGGGACGGAGAAGGCUAUGUUGGCCGGGCGACGGUUGUCCCGGUUUAAGCGUGUAGGCUGGUUUUCCAGGCAAAUCCGGAAAACCAAGGCUGAGGCGUGAUGACGAGGCACUACGGUGCUGAAGUGACAAAUGCCCUGCUUCCAGGAAAAGCCUCUAAGCAUCAGGUAACAUCAAAUCGUACCCCAAACCGACACAGGUGGUCAGGUAGAGAAUACCAAGGCGCUUGAGAGAACUCGGGUGAAGGAACUAGGCAAAAUGGUGCCGUAACUUCGGGAGAAGGCACGCUGAUAUGUAGGUGAAGCGACUUGCUCGUGGAGCUGA